rnacentral:rRNA from 1 species
UACGUAGGGUGCAGGCGUUAAUCGGAAUCACUGGGCGUAAAGGGCGCGUAGGCGGGAUGGCAAGUCAGUCGUGAAAUCUCUCGGCUCAACCGAGAAACGUCGGCUGAUACUGCCGUUCUUGAGGGAUGCAGAGGAGACUGGAAUUCCCGGUGUAGCGGUGAAAUGUGUAGAGAUCGGGAGGAACACCGGUGGCGAAGGCGGGUCUCUGGGCAUUUCCUGACGCUGAGGCGCGAAAGCGUGGGGAGCAAACGGG